AUGAUUGACACUAACUGCCCCGUCAUGAGCUGGAAUGUCCGAGGCCUAAACACACCGGCGCGCCGUGCAGUCAUUUGCGACACUGCCAACACACACAAGCUUGCAAUCAUGUGCCUUCAGGAGACUAAGAUAGAUUGCUGGUUGGCGGCCCUAGCUAGAGAGGUAGGAGGUGCAAGGCUUGACGAUUGUGUCAUCCUCCCAGCGAUGGGGACGCGUGGAGGGAUUGCAAUCUUCUGGAACUCCACUCUUGUCUCCGUCCAAUCUCAAGCUAUAGGGCAAUUCUCAAUCACCGCCAGAGUAACGCUUGCAAAUUCCGCGACUUCCUACUGGCUGACCAUGGUCUAUGGGCCUGCUGAUGAAGUACGGAAGGAUGACUUCCUUGCCGAGCUUGCAAGCGUUGCGCCCCCACCUGGCGAAGCGUGGUUGAUCAAUGGCGAUUUCAAUAUCAUCUACGAGGCUAGGGAUAAAAGCAACAUUAACAUAAAUCGCCGGAUCAUGGGAAAGUUCAGAGCAGCCAUAGAUGCAGCUGGUUUGCGUGAAAUCAAAUGCAAAAAUCGUCGUUUCACUUGGAGUAACGAGCGACGAGUCCCGACACUAGUUAGCAUAGAUAAAUUCUACUGCACCAUCGCCUGGGAGAGCCUGUUCCCGACCUACCUCCUCCACGCAGCCUCCACAUCUUGCUCCGAUCACUGCCCCCUACUCCUGGCACCAACUACAGCCCCUCGACAGCCAGCCCGGUUCAGAUUUGAAGCGUUCUGGCCCAAGCAUCCACAUUUCCAUGAAACCUAG
rnacentral:rRNA from 1 species